UUUGGGCUUUGCUGCUGCUGCCAUCUGGGUUCGCUGCUGCGGUAAAAUUCCUCACUGAGACUGCCGUUUGCUGAAGGAUCCGUCAUUGUCCCGGAGGAGACAGACACGACUCGGAUACCUCGAGAAACGUUAUCCAAAGCCUCUUAAUUCCAUAUGUCUUGGGGGAAGUUGAUUUCAUCUCAGUGACGAAGAAUUAUCUUAAUGUGAAAGUAACUAGGGAAGGAGUUCAGGUCCGACCAGCAAGACAGAGUGGACCAAC